rnacentral:rRNA from 1 species
GAUGAACGCUGGCGGCGUGCCUAAUACAUGCAAGUAGAACGCUGAAGGAGGAGCUUGCUCUUCUGGAUGAGUUGCGAACGGGUGAGUAACGCGUAGGUAACCUGCCUGGUAGCGGGGGAUAACUAUUGGAAACGAUAGCUAAUACCGCAUGACAACAGUUAUUGCAUGAUAACUGUUUAAAAGGGGCAACUGCUCCACUACCAGAUGGACCUGCGUUGUAUUAGCUAGUUGGUGAGGUAACGGCUCACCAAGGCGACGAUACAUAGCCGACCUGAGAGGGGGAUCGGCCACACUGGGACUGAGACGCGGCCCAGACUCCUACGGGAGGCAGCAGUAGGGAAUCUUCGGCAAUGGACGGAAGUCUGACCGAGCAACGCCGCGUGAGUGAAGAAGGUUUUCGGAUCGUAAAGCUCUGUUGUAAGAGAAGAACGAGUGUGAGAGUGGAAAGUUCACACUGUGACGGUAUCUUACCAGAAAGGGACGGCUAACUACGUG